UCCUUUUUAAACAGCUACAUACUGAUUGUGAUCAGAAAAAAUCUACAAAUUUAAAAAUGUCUCAAGUUUUCUUUGUAAACAUAUAAAGUACUAUGGUGUUUGAUUAAAAAAUAAUUUGGGACUCUCAAGACUCAUUUCUGGAGUUUGGGGGUGAUUCAUUUUUUUAUAAAAAGAAAAGUCAUCUUAGAAGGUAUUAUUAAACCCUUAGGAUUUUACAGAUUUUAAAAUGUUUUUUUAAAUCGAUUUUAAUUAGUUGGGAUGUUUUGCUUCAGAGACUUGUUUGGUUAGAUUUUGUGGCCUAGAAAAAUAAAAUGUGUGUAUAACAGUUGCUUGAAGCUGGUUCACUUAUUUAGGAAAUAUUUCAGCAUGGCGACAACCUGAUAACCUUUAUUUCAAACCAGUAAAAUGGGUGGAAUAAAAAAAUUAAUAAGAAAACAAGAACAAAAAACCCUUUGAUAAUCAAACAUAAAAUACCCCAAAACUUUCAUAUCUGGUAGGAAGAAGCCUAAGCUUAUUAAAUCCUACCCCCAAUUGUCCACGAUUGAAAAUGUUACAGAAGCCUAUAUUCCAAUUUUUGUUGCUACCUGCUUAUUGGAACAGGAUUUUCAUUAUUUAAUCAACAUUUUUAGGUCUUUUUUUGGGAUAAAAUGUUGAAUCUCUUGACAACACAUAGACACAGUAGAUUUAACUGAUAAAGAGUUUAAUGUGGGACUCUUGGACGGCACACUAUUAUUACCCCUUGAAGCUUUACACAUUUUGCCACUACAACCAAAAUCUUUAAUAUAUUUUCUCUGGAUCUUAUGUGAAAUACCCAUGCAAAGUAGUGCUUAAUAAUACACCCUCCAUCCAGGCUGACUGAGCUUGAACUAAGAAUGGUGGAAGAAGGGUUGUGUCUGUAGAUGUGUGAAGCUCGUAGAGACCUUCUAAGACAGUUUUGCAAUUCUGGUUGCAGAAAAAUGUAGUUCAACAAAACACAACACUUUUAAAUAAAGCAGAGAAAGUCAUCUACAACCUUCUCUUUACUUAUUGUUAUGCACUAUGUCGUGUUAAUCUGUUCCACUAAACCCAAUAGAAUUACAUCGAAGUUUGUGGUUUCAAAGUCACAAAAUGCGAACAAGUUUCGCCUGGCGACAGUAUCUGUUCUUGAUUUAGGAGACGGUAGAAGUCCAAAGAUGGACUGGUUCCACUGCAACCAGUGCUUCAAGAAAAGCGGGUCGAAGUUCGCUGUGUCGAGCUGUGGCCACAUCUCCUGCGAAGCUUGCGUUAAAUCAAGUGAGGAUUUUGCUAAUUGAGGUCGCUUUCGUCCAACACAGCUUUCAACGGAUUGACUUCAUUGUUUUUGAUGUCUGCUGUGUUUGUUAAAUCCAUCAGAGCAGUGCAGUACAUGUGGGGUGGCCUGCAGUUAUCUGCCCAUCACCGAUCAGAUGAAGCCACAGGAAAAGGUGUUUUUCAUGGACCCUGGAAAGCUCAUCCAGGCGAGGAUGGAAAACAUAGCGCAGAUUGCCAUUUUCCAGCAGAAGCAGAAGGAGAGAGUCACGGUUCACUUUAAGAACAAAUCCAGUGAACUGGAGAGGCGUCUGGAAGAGGUUUCUGAGCAGGGUUACAGACAACUGUCAGAGCUGAGAAGAGAGAACGGUGAGCUGAAGAAGCAGCUGUCGGAGCUGAGAAGAGAGAACGGAGAGAUGAAGAAGCAGCUGUUGGAGCUGCAAAGAGAAACUGCCGAACUGAAAAAGCCACUCUCUCAAAGGAGGGCAAGUGUUAAAAAAAAAUUUGUCCUUUCCCCAUGUUGAAUUUUUAAACACGCUUCACUUUUUUCUUCUUUUGUGCCGCAGGUUUCUCCCGGACAGUUCCAAACUACUGGCGCUCAGAGGGUUUCGCUCCCAGUUGGCGUUACCUCACCAGUUACUCCUCGAUCAAGAACAGCGAGUCAUGUCGGCUCCGGAGAGUCUCAGAGGUGGACCAGGGAUAGAGGCAUUUCU